rnacentral:rRNA from 1 species
UCAGUGCUGCAGCUAACGCAUUAAGCAUUCCGCCUGGGGAGUACGGCCGCAAGGCUGAAACUCAAAGGAACUGACGGGGGCCCGCACAAGCGGUGGAGCAUGUGGUUUAAUUCGAAGCUACGCGAAGAACCUUACCAGGUCUUGACAUACUAUGCAAAUCUAAGAGAUUAGACGUUCCCUUCGGGGACAUGGAUACAGGUGGUGCAUGGUUGUCGUCAGCUCGUGUCGUGAGAUGUUGGGUUAAGUCCCGCAACGAGCGCAACCCUUAUUAUCAGUUGCCAGCAUUAAGUUGGGCACUCUGGUGAGACUGCCGGUGACAAACCGGAGGAAGGUGGGGAUGACGUCAAAUCAUCAUGCCCCUUAUGACCUGGGCUACACACGUGCUACAAUGGAUGGUACAACGAGUUGCGAACUCGCGAGAGUAAGCUAAUCUCUUAAAGCCAUUCUCAGUUCGGAUUGUAGGCUGCAACUCGCCUACAUGAAGUCGGAAUCGCUAGUAAUC